GAGUUUGAUCGUGGCUCAGAUUGAACGCUGGCGGCAUGCCUUACACAUGCAAGUCGAACGGCAGCACGGGAGCUUGCUCCUGGUGGCGAGUGGCGAACGGGUGAGUAAUGCAUCGGAACGUAUCCUGGAGUGGGGGAUAACGUAGCGAAAGUUACGCUAAUACCGCAUAUUCUGUGAGCAGGAAAGCGGGGGGCCUUCGGGCCUCGCGCUCUUGGAGCGGCCGAUGUCGGAUUAGCUAGUUGGUGAGGUAAAGGCUCACCAAGGCGACGAUCCGUAGCAGGUCUGAGAGGAUGAUCUGCCACACUGGAACUGAGACACGGUCCAGACUCCUACGGGAGGCAGCAGCGGGAUUUUGGACAAUGGGGGCACCCGAUCCAGCCAUGCCGCGUGAGUGAAGAAGGCCU
rnacentral:rRNA from 1 species